ACAUCCAGAGAAUUUAGCAGAGAUGCUUUAGUGCCUUCGGGAACUCUGAGACAGGUGCUGCAUGGCUGUCGUCAGCUCGUGUUGUGAAAUGUUGGUUAGGUCCCGNAACGAGCGCAACCCUAUCCUUUGUUGCCAGCGAUUCGGUCGGGAACUCAAAGGAGACUGCCGGUGAUAAACCGGAGGAAGGUGGGGAUGACGUCAAGUCAUCAUGGCCCUUACGAGUAGGGCCACACACGUGCUACAAUGGCGCAUACAAAGAGAAGCGACCUCGCGAGAGCAAGCGGACCUCAUAAAGUGCGUCGUAGUCCGGAUUGGAGUCUGCAACUCGACUCCAUGAAGUCGGAAUCGCUAGUAAUCGUAGAUCAGAAUGCUACGGUGAAUACGUUCCCGGGCCUUGUACACACCGCCCGUCACACCAUGGGAGUGGGUUGCAAAAGAAGUAGAUAGCUUAACCUUCGGGAGGGCGUUUACCACUUUGUGAUUCAUGACUGGGGUGAAGUCGUAACAAGGUAAGCGUACGUGU
rnacentral:rRNA from 1 species